rfam:Fibrobacter sp. TWH6 genome assembly, contig: Ga0136285_103
GCGGGGCAGCGGAUGGCCGCCGGCGAGAAGAAAUUCAGACUGGAGGAAAGUCCGGGCACCACAGAGCAGGAUGCUGGAUAACGUCCAGGCGCGGAAACGCGAUAGAAAGUGCAACAGAAAUUAUACCGCCUGCAGCAAUGUAGGUAAGGGUGAAAUGGCGAGGUAAGAGCUCACCGCAUUCCUGGUGACAGGGGUGGCAAUGUAAACCUCAUCCGGUGCAAGACCAAGCAGGAAUCCGCUGGAGGCAACUCCGGCCAGGUGCGGCUCGUGCCUGUUGGAUAUCCGGGUAGGUCGCUUGAGGCGGCUGGUAACAGUUCGUCCAGAGAGAUGGUCAUCGCCCCGCAAGGGGUACAGAACCCGGCUUAUAACUGCCCCUUAUUU